rnacentral:rRNA from 1 species
AGCGAACGCUGGCGGCAGGCUUAACACAUGCAAGUCGAGCGCCCCGCAAGGGGAGCGGCAGACGGGUGAGUACCACGUGGGAACGUACCCUUUGGUUCGGAACAACCCAGGGAAACUUGGGCUAAUACCGGAUAAGUCCGCGAGGAGAAAGAUUUAUCGCCGAAGGAUCGGCCCGCGUCUGAUUAGCUAGUUGGUGUGGUAACGGCGCACCAAGGCGACGAUCAGUAGCUGGUCUGAGAGGAUGAUCAGCCACACUGGGACUGAGACACGGCCCAGACUCCUACGGGAGGCAGCAGUGGGGAAUAUUGGACAAUGGGGGCAACCCUGAUCCAGCCAUGCCGCGUGAGUGAUGAAGGCCCUAGGGUUGUAAAGCUCUUUCGGUGGGGAAGAUAAUGACGGUACCCACAGAAGAAGCCCCGGCUAACUUCGUG